GACGAACGCUGGCGGCGUGCCUAAUACAUGCAAGUCGAGCGGACUGAUUAAGAGCUUGCUCUUAUGACGUUAGCCGCGGACGGGUGAGUAACACGUGGGCCACCCUCCCCGUUGAUCGGGAUAAUAACGAGAAAUCGGUGCUAAUAACGGGUAAUAUCUGAGGUCACAUGAUCUUUGGUUAAAAGAUGGCUCCGGCUAUCACUACAGGAUGGGCCCGCGGCGCAUUAGCUAGUUGGUAAGGUAAUGGCUUACCAAGGCGACGAUGCGUAGCCGACCUGAGAGGGUGAUCGGCCACACUGGGACUGAGACACGGCCCAGACUCCUACGGGAGGCAGCAGUAGGGAAUCUUCCGCAAUGGACGAAAGUCUGACGGAGCAACGCCGCGUGAGUGAUGAAGGGUUUCGGCUCGUAAAGCUCUGUUGUUAGGGAAGAAACAGUACCGAACGAACUAGGUCGGUACCUUGACGGUACCUAACCAGAAAGCCACGGCUAACUACGUG
rnacentral:rRNA from 1 species